UACGUAGGGGGCAAGCGUUGUCCGGAUUUACUGGGCGUAAAGAGCGUGUAGGCGGCCACACAGGUCUGCUGUGAAAACUCGAGGCUCAACCUCGAGCUGUCGGUGGAAACCGUGUGGCUAGAGUCCGGAAGAGGAGAGUGGAAUUCCCGGUGUAGCGGUGAAAUGCGCAGAUAUCGGGAAGAACACCCGUGGCGAAGGCGGCUCUCUGGGACGGUACUGACGCUGAGGAGCGAAAGCGUGGGGAGCAAACAGG
rnacentral:rRNA from 1 species